GGCGCAGCAGGCGCGAAACCUCCGCAAUGCGGGAAACCGCGACGGGGGGACCCCGAGUGCCGUGGCACCGCCACGGCUUUUCCGGAGUGUAAAAAGCUCCGGGAAUAAGGGCUGGGCAAGGCCGGUGGCAGCCGCCGCGGUAAUACCGGCGGCCCGAGUGGUGGCCGCUAUUAUUGGGCCUAAAGCGUCCGUAGCCGGGCCCGUAAGUCCCUGGCGAAAUCCCACGGCUCAACCGUGGGGCUUGCUGGGGAUACUGCGGGCCUUGGGACCGGGAGAGGCGGGGGGUACCCCUGGGGUAGGGGUGAAAUCCUAUAAUCCCAGGGGGACCGCCAGUGGCGAAGGCGCCCCGCUGGAACGGGUCCGACGGUGAGGGACGAAGGCCAGGGGAGCAAACCGGAUUAGAUACCCGGGUAGUCCUGGCUGUAAAGGAUGCGGGCUAGGUGUCGGGUGAGCUUCGAGCUCGCCCGGUGCCGUAGGGAAGCCGUUAAGCCCGCCGCCUGGGGAGUACGGCCGCAAGGCUGAAACUUAAAGGAAUUGGCGGGGGAGCACUACAAGGGGUGGAGCGUGCGGUU
rnacentral:rRNA from 1 species